GUUUUUUACUACUACGGUGUUUUUUUAUUUUUUAUUUUUUCCCCUUUAUACAGAAAAUGCUAUCUAUCCAGAAACGUUCUAAGAAUUUGAAUGGAUGAGUUAGAUUUGAACUUGUGUGAUGUAGAUUACAAACUUGAGGAAUUUAUAAUCCACGCAUUUCAAUUUCUGACUACUUUUCUGAAUAAAUAUCUCCAUUGCUAAAUGUCAAAUUGCAUUUAAAUGAGCCCAUUCACUUUCCAUGUAGCAUGCUAAUGUAGAAACUGAAUAUUGAAUGGAGCCAUUUGCAAAAAAUCACAUUCAUCUCAGGAAAUGAUGUUUAAAAACUAACAGUCACAAUGACCCAUCUGUCUGUUCUUGAUUGCAGGAAUUGAUUACUUAUCUGUUGCUGCCUAUAAUGAUCUGAUUCCUUCUCAUCUUGUUUUUCUAGAAGGCAGGGAAAUCAUUCUGGUGGAAGGCCUGAAACUCAAAGAUAUUCAACUAGGAAUAUAUAGUGUCCAUUGCUUACCUCUAAGGUUGCUUGGCGCUGAGGGCUCGCCUAUCAGAUGCAUCCUUAUCAAAUGACAUCGUCCUUGUAGAGGCUUUGAAAUGUGCAUUACCACUUGCAGCCUUGGUAAGAAUAUGGAGAAAUGAAGGUGUUACUGAUGAUAAUAGUAUUACAUUUUUGCUUAUGUUGAUGUUCCGGGGUAUCAAAUAUUGAAGAACCUGAAUAUUAUCAGUACUGGUGUUUUAUACCGAAUCAUUCUUAAGAAGAAGUUAAGCGAGAUUCAAUGGGCUGCUUUCAUUCUAUUAUGUGCAGGGUGCACCACAGCACAACUUAAUUCUUCAUAAGAGUGAUCCAUGAUAUGCAGGUCCUGGCUCAUAACCAAGUGAUGAAUGAAAAUCUUUGAAUUACUGAUGUUCUGCUUAUACCUAAACGUAUUUCUUAAUGACUUUGAAUUAUAUAUCAGUUUCUUUAUUCAUGUUACCAUGGUUGAGAGCCUUGUCCAUUUACAUGCAAGCCCUGGCUCGUAACCAUUUACACCCUAUCUCAUUUAUCCUUUCUGAACAGAGCCUUGUCCCAACUGUUUAGAAUUGGCUAUCUGACUGUACAUUUCUAGGGCCACAUGUUUUAUUAAGUCCUAAGUCAAGAUUAACUUGUAUCAAUUUCACUAUCCUCACUAUCACUACCCUCUGUCCUGGUAACAACUGAAGUUAAUAACAUUGAUUUGUCUUGCUGCAACUACUCAUUGUCUUUGUGCACCUGCUGCCAGAUGAAUUUACUUAAUUUCAUUGAUGUUAAAAAUUGCAUGUAUGCUACACUAUUUCUCAAGUUACGAUAUGAUCUUAUCUGGUGAAUUGAUAAGUUUCAACUUAAUUUCUUUUUGUCAAUGCUCUUAUUGACAACCCAGCUUUUGAUUCUCAAACCAAAGAGGCUUUGACAAUUCGCCAAAGCAGUUUUGGGUCAAAAUGUGAACUUUCACAGGAGUUCCUGAAGAAAGGUUUGUUCAGAGCAUCAAGCAGAUUCUUGGACUUCAGCAUGGAAAAUAGUAUGACAGUGUGAAGACUUUGAGAUAUGGUCAUUUGAUGAUUAUGACUGAUCAGGACCAUGAUGGAUCACAUAUUAAAGGGCUGUUUGCCAAAAGUUUCAAUUACUUGUAGUGUUAACACCCAGAUUGGAUGUCUCUCUCUCUUUCCUUUCUCUCCAUCAGCAUCAAUUUUCUUCUUAUGAACGAAGAUCAAUCGAAAACGACGACAUCGAUUGCCUCCUUCUCGUCCAUUCCGAUCUCUCCUCUCUCAUUCACCAGAUUGUGAGAAUAGAGUCUGUGCAUUCUAAAGGAUUUUUGCAUCGAGACAUCAAACCGGAUAACUUCUUCAUGGGUCUUGGCAGAAAAGCAAAUCAGGUAUAUAUUAUUGAUUUUGGAUUAGCAAAAAGAUAUCGUGACCUUACCACAAGCCGCCAUAUUCCUUACAGGCUUUGACUUCGAUUAUGUAUUUGACUGGACCAUUCUAAAGUACCAGAAUACACAGAGAAGUUGGGGAAAGUGGAUCAAAAGUUCACGAACCAGACGAGCGCCCUCCCCAACAUAUUUCUUAACAAGUUCACGAAGCUAAAGUGUACAAGACUACUUGGCAGUAUAAGCAUUUUUUGGAGGAUUAAAUAUUUUUGGAUGGAUGUGUAUGGAUAACAAAUAUUAGUAGUUUUAUUUGUUGAUAGCUGGGCAUGGAUAACAAAUAGUUAUGUUUCAAAUUGUUGUGCUAGAUAGAUAUGACUUGUGAAUGAAAACUUAGAAUAGUUGUAUUGUGCUGAAUGUUAAUGAAUUAUGUAUUGUGUCGAAUGUUAAUGAUUCAGUUAAUUUGAAUGAUGCUUUAAAA